rnacentral:rRNA from 1 species
UCAAAGGAAGUUGACGGGGGAGCACCACAACGGGUGGAGCUUGCGGUUUAAUUGGAUUCAACGCCGGAAAUCUUACCGGGACGACAACAAUAUGAAGGCCAGGCUGAAGACUUUGCCGGAUUAGCUGAGAGGUGGUGCAUGGCCGUCGUCAGUUCGUACUGUGAAGCAUCCUGUUAAGUCAGGCAACGAGCGAGACCCACGCCCACAGUUGCCAGCGUACUCUCUGGAGUGACGGGUACGCUGUGGGGACCGCCGCUGCUAAAGCGGAGGAAGGAAUGGGCAACGGUAGGUCAGUAUGCCCCGAAUAUCCCGGGCUACACGCGAGCUACAAUGGUUGGUACAAUGGGUAUCUACCCCGAAAGGGGACGGGAAUCUCCUAAAACCAAUCUUAGUUCGGAUUGAGGGCUGCAACUCGCCCUCAUGAAGCUGGAAUCCGUAGUAAUCGCGUUUCAACAGAACGCGGUGAAUACGUCCCUGCUCCUU